GUCAGGAUAGCUCAGUUGGUGAGAGAGGACU
rnacentral:tRNA from 1 species